AGGUGGAUCCUCAGCCCUAGGCUCUCUUGGGGUGUUCUACAAGAGUUGGUACGUGUGCUCAAGGAGGAACAGGCCCUGCAGAGGGAAGCAGGCUUACAGUCAGCCAGUCCAUCUACCUGUACAGCAACAGCUCCAUGAGGAAACUUCAGGCACCACAAAUACAAGACCAAAUUUGAAGCUCUUUGUAUGGAGAUCCUAGGAAUUACUUUCCUCAAUUUCCAAGAAUGGCACCUGGGGCAGGAAAGAAACCUAGAAAACUAUACCUUCCUGAAGUAAAUAUAGCAGCCACAAAGCUCUGCAUGGAGCUCAAAGUUUGCACGCAAUCAAGCAGUGCCUGACUGGGGUCUUCCAUGGGUGACAGGAUGUCCUGCCAGGGUGCCUUCCUUGAUGAAACUUCCUUGGCACAAUGCCUUGGUGGCUUUGGAGUCCACCAUGACUAUGACAUCACCACCAGUAGGACCUGCAUGCCCAGACCUUGUUGUCAAAAGCACGAGAUGGCCGUGGCUUGGUGAGCUGGGAGAGUGAAGCCUGGGUGCUGCUUCCUGAAGAUCUCAGCCACUGGAGGGGGACAGAGGACCUUGCUGCACAGACUCACAUGGAUCUCAGGAUUGGUGGACAUGAAUUCAGCUUCUCCAGCAGCCUAAGGCAGAUGCCUGGUCUGGAAAGCGUCAGCUCAAGUGGUGAAAGUGGCAUGUUACAAGCAGCUGAAGCCAAAGCUGGGAGAGGCGAGUCAAAGAGGUGCUAGUGCUUGUGUUCCCUGUGAUACAGGAGCAUACCAGCUCCUGUCACCGAAGCAUCCUGGAAAAAACAUCAGGGCAGCUUCCUCGGUGGAGAUCUGUUUUCUCUCACCUCUACAGCAUUGCCUUUGCCUGCAUCCCUUGGCAUUUGCAGAACACUUUGCCUGUCCCAGAGUGAGCCUGGUCCCCAAAACAGUGAGCAGAGUGUUUCCUCCUGGUGCCACUCAGAGCUAGCAGGCAGCUCCAGGUGCUGGGCUGGUUGUCUUUUGCCAGCCUCUUAUGUUUGGGAAGGGCUUAGAGACUAGGCCUGCAGGAAGCUGUGAUUCAUUCUGUCUACAGCUUUUUUUAACGAGACUAUUUCCAUUGUCUGUGAGUCCAUCAGCAUCAGAGGCUCUGCGUGGGAUCAAGCUAAGAGCACGAGUGCUAUGUGUGUGCUCUCGGGGAUGCUAAGAGGGCUGGCGCAUUAUGGUCCAGUGUAUAGCCUGAUGUUUCGCCCUGGCCAUGCUAGUCCUGCGCCUCCCUGGGGGCUGAGUGCAGCUUGGGACCUGCAGACAGCAGGGAGGGCAACCCUUGCCUCUGUAUUUCUGGGCAAGAAGCUCCUGUGGAGCCAGUCGUUAAGCAACAGCUGUGACUGCUGCUGAUUGGUGUCAAAAAGGCCUGGUGAUCACAAAGAGGGAGCACUGAAGCAAGGGGCAGAACAGCAGGAAGCAGCUGGCAGGCAGGUGAGCAUCUCUGCACAGCCAGCAGAAUGCGUUGCAUUGGGCUCUCCACAUAAAGCACUCCAGCAGCAGGAUGGCCAGAUGUAUAAAAAAGGAAAAAAGAUCAGGAUUGAAUUGCCAGUCAUGCCUAUGGGGGCAGCAGCCUGCUCUGCAUGUGCAAUAUGGCACACAUGCUGCUUGGAGUAGCAUCAGGUUUUCGACUGCAUGGUGCUCCACCAGCAGCACGCCCAGCACUCAGGCAAUAUUAGAUCUGACAAGAGAGGAGGGUUACACAGAGGUGCUCUCUUGUUUUCUCUCCAAUUGCUAAUUGGACUUGCAUUCCCAACUCUCCAGUUUCCCCUUUGCCUCAGUUCAUGUGAUAUAUGGAGCUAG